rnacentral:rRNA from 1 species
AUUGAACGCUGGCGGCAUGCCUUACACAUGCAAGUCGAACGGUAACAGGUUAAGCUGACGAGUGGCGAACGGGUGAGUAAUGUAUCGGAACGUGCCCAGUCGUGGGGGAUAACUACUCGAAAGAGUGGCUAAUACCGCAUACGACCUGAGGGUGAAAGCGGGGGACCGGUAAGGCCUCGCGCGAUUGGAGCGGCCGAUAUCAGAUUAGGUAGUUGGUAGGGUAAUGGCCUACCAAGCCGACGAUCUAUAGCUGGUCUGAGAGGAUGAUCAGCCACACUGGGACUGAGACACGGCCCAGACUCCUACGGGAGGCAGCAGUGGGGAAUAUUGGACAAUGGGCGAAAGCCUGAUCCAGCAAUACCGCGUGAGUGAUGAAGGCCUUAGGGUUGUAAAGCUCUUUUAGUAGGGAAGAUAAUGACGGUACCUACAGAAAAAGCCCCGGCUAACUCCGUGCCAGCAGCCGCGGUAAUGUCCGUCAUGU